rnacentral:rRNA from 1 species
AGAGUUUGAUCCUGGCUCAGAUUGAACGCUGGCGGCAGGCCUAACACAUGCAAGUCGAGCGGUAACAGAAGGUAGCUUGCUACUUUGCUGACGAGCGGCGGACGGGUGAGUAAUGCUUGGGAACAUGCCUUGAGGUGGGGGACAACAGUUGGAAACGACUGCUAAUACCGCANAAUGUCUACGGACCAAAGGGGGCUUCGGCUCUCGCCUUUAGAUUGGCCCAAGUGGGAUUAGCUAGUUGGUGAGGUAAUGGCUCACCAAGGCGACGAUCCCUAGCUGGUUUGAGAGGAUGAUCAGCCACACUGGGACUGAGACACGGCCCAGACUCCUACGGGAGGCAGCAGUGGGGAAUAUUGCACAAUGGGCGCAAGCCUGAUGCAGCCAUGCCGCGUGUGUGAAGAAGGCCUUCGGGUUGUAAAGCACUUUCAGUCAGGAGGAAAGGUUAGUAGUUAAUACCUGCUAGCUGUGACGUUACUGACAGAAGAAGCACCGGCUAACUCCGUGCCAGCAGCCGCGGUAAUACGGAGGGUGCGAGCGUUAAUCGGAAUUACUGGGCGUAAAGCGUACGCAGGCGGUUUGUUAAGCGAGAUGUGAAAGCCCCGGGCUCAACCUGGGAACUGCAUUUCGAACUGGCAAACUAGAGUGUGAUAGAGGGUGGUAGAAUUUCAGGUGUAGCGGUGAAAUGCGUAGAGAUCUGAAGGAAUACCGAUGGCGAAGGCAGCCACCUGGGUCAACACUGACGCUCAUGUACGAAAG